rnacentral:lncRNA from 1 species
AGAGCAGCGGCCAAGGCUGAGGAGAGAGCUGGGACUCGAGACCCUGCUCCACCCUGCUGGCUCUCGCUCGGCCCCAUUACCUGGCAAGCCCCGGCAUCCUUGACCCACGUCCGUGGCGCUGCCUGGGUAGGAACGCGCCUGAAGACCGCGCAGGACACUACCACUGGGCAUCCUGGGUUUGAUGCAGACAUCCUGCACUACAUUCCAGAUCUGAUGAGGCAUGGCUGCCCCAGGAUUACUGGGCUCGGACGGGAGCAGUGGUAGGAAGGAUCCUAUAUAAGUCAUGUGAGACAUAGAAUGUUCAGAUCAACUGAAGCUGAAACAAGCCUUUGGCAUCAUAUAUAACCCAGAAAGGGACAAAGCUGGUUCCUUGAAUGCUUGGUUUAUGUGCCUGGCUGGAGGAGACACCCAUGGCCUUGCAGAGGGAGCGUUCUGGUGGGAAAGCAGACACAACCCACCCUAGGCCCGUGGUUUCCCUGCAAGAAGCCCAGUGGCUUUCUGGAGGACACUUUUCCUGGAGGAAGUGACUCAAGAGCAGCAUAAGCCAGGCUCUAUGGAAUGUUGGGUGAGCUGCUUGAGGAACUCCAAGGCCUGUCCCACAGUCUUCCAGCCUCCGACUCUCCGGCCCUCAGCGAGGAAGUCCCACUGGUUUUUUUGGUUGGUUUUUUUUUUUUUUUUUAAGGUUUUUUGGUUUUUUUUUUUUUUUCUCAUUCCUGUCUUGGGAGCUUUCCCCAACCAGGAGAGUGAAGAUGGGCGGAGCUGUCACACCAACUGUUAGCCUGCCUUGGCUGAGAGGAGAGGAGGCGAGGAGGGAGCGACCACCCAGCUUUAGUCGUUUUAAAACAGCUCCUGACCCUAGAAGAAGGGAAAUGGAGAUGAAGACCCAAUUGACUUGGUAUGAAGUUUAAAUGCCCCUUCAAGACUUGGGGGUCGAGGACGGUGAGAUUGGCUCAGUGGAUAGAUUCACUUGCCUCUAAGCCUGACAACCUAAGUUAAUAUCCUCUACCCACAUAUGGAAGGAAAAAAAUGAUUUCCAAAAGUUGUCCUCUGACCUCCACACAGAGACCAUGGCCUGUGCACCACCCCCCGAAAAUGUAAUAUAUUUUUUAAAAAGACAUGGGGACUUCCAUUCAGUGUCUCCCAAUGUUUGGGGAUUUCCUUUCCUUAUUUCCUUACUCCCUGUCGGUGCCCUAGAGGAGACAGAGAGAGUCUAACUACGGAGAGGUCAUUCUCUAGGUUGGUUGGUGGAAUAUUCAGGACUCCUGGGAAGGCUCCAACUGGUCCCUGAGAGUCCCAGUUUCCUCUAUCACACAGCAGAAGGUGGGGAAUGGCUGCCGUGGUUGGAAGAGCGCGUUGGUGCUGAGGGGGCCAGCUGGUUGAGAAGCAGGUGGAGAGGGAAAGGACCCUGCUUAAGAGGGGGCUGGGUGGGAAGGCUGGGUAAUUUAUGAUAUCAUUGUUCCCGCCCCUCUUCCCAGCCCCCUGCCACUUUACUGUUGCUAGGAGAUCCUGGCUGGCCCUGUCAAAUGGAAAACUCCUCCUCAGCCAGAGUAGGCCCUACCCUGAGUCACAACAGACCCUAAACACACCAGUGUCUCCUAUGAAUCCAUUCAGGUUCAGCCAGCUUGGGCGUGGGACUACCUGACCGAGCAAGUGCUUGUGUGUGUGUGUGUGUGUGUGUGUGUGUGUGUGUGUGUGUGUGUGUGUGUGUGUGAUAUGGAGGGAGCCAGGAGAUAGACUUUGAGGAUGGAGGAGCACUCUGAGGGCCUGCAGGUGACCCUGGGAACCAAGCCUGGGAAGAACCUAAGUUAAUAAUGCAAUCUUUAUCUUAGAGAGAGUGAUCUUUCAGCAGACUGAUCGAACACACAGGCUUCUCAGCCCACUCCCUCCAGUCAAGGUUAAGGCCUGGCAAAGGUGGAGGAAGAGAAGCUGAGGAGAAAAAGGCGAGGAGAGCCUAGGCACAGGAAGGUGACCGUGAGUAGAGUUGGGUGGUCCAGGGAUGUGGCUGGGAUCCCCUCUUCCUUCUGGAGUUCUCUUAGACAGUAAGGCUGAAGAGAAGCUUGGUACAGGAACUUCGAAGGUUUCUCAAGCUGCAGGUCAUGGCUACCUGUGUUUCUUAGCACUGGCCUUGACUUGGCUACCACAGGCUUUUGUCUCAGUUUAUCUGCCCUGGCUGAAACCCAAAUGAUCCUGUCUCCAGCUCCAUAAGAGCAAUCAGAGGUCCCCCAAAAUCUCUGUCUGCUCCCUAGAGUCAUGGGCUGCUUCUUGUUCUGUGCUCCACACAGGCUUCCCUCCCUCCCAGUGCUGAUUUCCUGUGGACCAGAUUCCAGCACAGUGGAGGGCCAGAGCUCAGGGAACAGACCCAGCAGCACAGCAAGUCUCCAAGGAAAGCUCUAGCAGUCUCCAGGGGCUGAAGGCAGGACUGGGGAAGCGGCUAGCCAGGCUGCAGAAGGCAAAUGCUCCCAGACGGCUGUCCAGCACGCAUCCGCCUUCCUAGCCAAGUUUCCUGGGCUCCUGCCACAGAUCUAAGCCUCAUCCUGACAUCCUGCCCUCUGUGCUCUGGGAUGGCCCAGGGGAGAUGCUUAGCCUUGGCUCCUUGUCUGCUGGUGGAGGGGACACACACCCUUUCUGGACCACAGACCAAAAAGAAGACCUGACGUCAUCCUGAGCACCCCCGCCAUGCAGAGUGUGUUCGCAGACUGCCAACGGGCUGGCUCCGGCCAGCAGAAGUGAACAGAGGUGGAGGUUCAGCCUGACAGCUUCUCCCCAAAGCCAUGGAGAGAAAACCUUACCACCCCCACCGCCCAGCUACUUCCAGCAAGUUGUCCAGCCUGACCCCUCUAUUUCCCCUGUUGUCUCUUAUCUGGGUCCCUGAGACCCACCCCAUCUCCAAUAAAGAACAUUGCAUACUGUGCA